rfam:Phycisphaerae bacterium SM-Chi-D1, complete genome.
GGUCAAGUUACUAAGGGUACAUGGGGGAUGUCUAGGUAUCGAGAGGCGACGAAGGACGUGGAAGGCUGCGAUAAGCCCGGGGCAAGAGCCAAACAUCUGUUAAUCCCGGGAUUUCCGAAUGGGGUAACCUGUCAGGCCGGCGCAAGCUGUGCCUUUCGUCAACGGCUGAAUUCAUAGGCCGUUGAAGCUAACGCAGAGAAUUGAAACAUCUUAGUACCUGCAGGAAAGAAAAUCAACCGAGACUCCGUCAGUAGCGGCGAGCGAAAGCGGACAAGCCCAAACCGGCGUGCUUGCAUGCCGGGGUUGCGGGCACCAAUACUAGAGUUACAAAGAAGCAUAUUAUAGGAACGAUCUGGAAAGUUCGACCAUAGAUGGUGAAAGUCCCGUACUUUACAAUAUAGCUUUCUCUUUUGGUGUACCAGAGUAGCACGAGACUCGUGGAACCUCGUGUGAAGCUGGGGGGCCCACCCUCCAAGGCUAAGUACUCCUCGAUAACCGAUAGUGCAAAGUAGCGUAAGCGAACGAUGAAAAGCACCCCUUUUAGGGGAGUUAAAAGUACCUGAAACCAUGUACCUACAAGCAGUCGGAGCCCUAUUUAAUAUGGGUGACGGCGUGCCUUUCGCAUAAUGAGCCGGCGAGUUAACGUCUGUUGCAAGGUUAAGCACUUCCGGUGCGCAGCCGCAGGGAAACCGAGUCUUAAUAGGGCGUAUUAGUAGCAGGUGUUAGACGCGAAACCAGGUGAUCUACCCAUGGCCAGGUGGAAGGGGAUGUAAAAAUCCCUGGACGACCGAACCCACUAACGUUGAAAAGUUAGGGGAUGAGCUGUGGGGAGGAGUAAAAGUCUAAUCAAACCUGGAGAUAUCUCGUUCUCUCCGAAAUAGUUCUAGGACUAGCCUCAGUUUAUACCUUACAGGGGUAGAGCUACUGAUUGGGACUGGGGGGCCACCAGCCUACCCACCCCUACCAAACUCCGAAUACUGUAAGGCUUAUUCUGGGAGUCAGACUAUGUGCAAUAACGUGUGUGGUCAAGAGGGGAACAACCCAGAUCGCCAGCUAAGGUCCCGAAUCAUUGCUAAGUUACUAAGGAAGUCAGAUUGCCCAGACAAUCAGGAUGUUGGCUUAGAAGCAGCCACCAUUUAAAAAGUGCGUAAUAGCUUACUGAUCGAGCAAUUUGGUGCCGAUAAUGAACGGGAAUCAAGCAAUGAACCGAAGCUGCGGAUUUGAUAUUUAUAUCAAGUGGUAGGAGAGCGUAAUAAUCAGCGUCGAAGCGGUACCGCAAGGAGCCGUGGAGCGGUUAUUAGUGAUUAUGCCGGCAUGAGUAACGAUAAAACAGGUGAGAAUCCUGUUCGCCGAAAACCUAAGGUUUCCUGGGGAAGGUAGAUCCGCCCAGGGUUAGUCGGCCCCUUAGUCGAGGCUGAAAGGCGUAGACGAUGGGCAGCAGGUUAAUAUUCCUGCACUAUGUAGAUGGACGAAAGCAGUGACGCAUUUUUUAAGGCAAUCCCGUGAUUAGUCGAGCGGGUUUCGCAAGAUCGAGGCCGUAUAUGAUGCCGAAGUUGCCGGCAAAGGUGCCGAGAAACAGCUGCUGUAGAUUGAAAUCUGCAUAACCGUACUAAAACUGACACAGGUAGGUGAGGAGAAUAUCCUAAGGCGCUCGAGAGAACCGUUGUUAAGGAACUCGGCAAAUUGACCCCGUAAGUUCGCGAUAAGGGGGCCCUCCUCCGCAAGGAGAGGGGACAGAAAAGUGGCACUGGCGACUGUUUACCAAAAACACAGUUCUCUGCUAACACGUACAGUGGAUGUAUAGAGAAUGACGCCUGCUCGGUGCCGGAAGGUUAAGGAAGGCGGUUAUCCGUCACUUGAUUUAUACGGAGAUACACAAUGUAUUAUGUAUAUGUACUUUAUGAAGAAAACACAGAGAAAUGCUACAUCGGUUACAGCAGUGACUUGAAAACAAGAGUCUCAAGUCAUAAGUCUGGCAGUGGUUGUAAAACCACCAGAAAUGGUAACUGGCAUUUAGUUUAUUAUGAAGCAUAUAUGAGCGAAUCAGAUGCGAGAAAACGUGAGAAACGUUUGAAGAGCGGCAAUGCCCGCAGACAUUUGAUGAAUAGAAUACAGAAAAGUUUAAUGUGUAAAUCAAGUGACGGAGAAGCUGACGACUGAAGCCCCGGUAAACGGCGGCCGUAACUAUGACGGUCCUAAGGUAGCGAAGUUCCUUGUCGGGUAAGUUCCGACCUGCAUGAACGGCGUAACGACUGGUGCACUGUCUCAACAACGGACUCGGUGAAAUUGUAGAUGUGGUGAAGAUACCACAUACCCGCGGCAAGACGGAAAGACCCCGUGAACCUUUACUGCAGUCAGGUAUUGGUACCUGGUAUAUCAUGCGUAGGAUAGGUGGGAGGCUUUGAAGCGGUUCUUCUGGGAAUCGUGGAGCCAUCGUUGAAAUACCACCCUUGGUGUAUUAGUUAUCUAACUCUGAGCCUUGAAUCAGGACAGAGGACCGUGCUUGAUGGGCAGUUUGACUGGGGCGGUCUCCUCCCAAAGAGUAACGGAGGAGUACAAAGGUACACUCAGCAUGGUUGGCAAUCAUGCGUAGAGCAUAAAGGUAGAAGUGUGCUUAACUGCGAGAGCUAUAACUCGAGCAGAUGCGAAAGCAGGUCUUAGUGAUCCGGUGGUCCCGUGUGGAAGGGCCAUCGCUCAUCAGAUAAAAGGUACUCCGGGGAUAACAGGCUUAUCGCCCCCGAGCGUUCAUAGCGGCGGGGCGGUUUGGCACCUCGAUGUCGGCUCAUCACAUCCUGGGGCUGUAGGCGGUCCCAAGGGUUCGGCUGUUCGCCGAUUAAAGUGGUACGCGAGCUGGGUUCAGACCGGCGUGAGCCAGGUCGGUCCCUAUCUGCCGUGGGCGUUGGAAUCUUGUGGAGAUGUUUCCCUAGUACGAGAGGAUUGGGAAGCACUGACCUCUGGUGUACCAGUUGUGCUGCUAAGUGCAUGCUGGGUAGCUAAGUCGGGAAAGGAUAACCGCUGAAAGCAUCUAAGCGGGAAGCCCACUCCGAGAUGAGGAUUCCAUGAUUAAUAUCUGAAGGACCCUGGAAGACUACCAGGUUGAUAGGCCGGAUGUGUAAGUGCAGAAAUGUAUUAAGCUAACCGGUACUAACGUCCAAUAACUUGACCGC